GACGAGCCUCACGAACGUUAUUCGGAAUUACUGGGCUUAAAGGGUGCGUAGGCGGCGCGGAAAGUAGGGUGUGAAAUCCCUCGGCUCAACCGAGGAACUGCGCUCUAAACUACCGUGCUCGAGGGAGAUAGAGGUAAGCGGAACUUAGGGUGGAGCGGUGAAAUGCGUUGAUAUCCUAAGGAACACCGGUGGCGAAGGCGGCAUCCUGGACCGGUAUUGACGCUGAGGCGCGAAAGCCAGGGGAGCAAACGGG
rnacentral:rRNA from 1 species